UACAGAGGGUGCAAACGUUGCUCGGAAUCAUUGGGCGUAAAGGGUGCGUAGGCGGCGCGGUAAGUCGGGUGUGAAAUCUCGGAGCUUAACUCCGAAACUGCAUUCGAUACUGCCGUGCUUGAGGACUGGAGAGGAGACUGGAAUUUACGGUGUAGCGGUGAAAUGCGUAGAUAUCGUAAGGAAGACCAGUGGCGAAGGCGGGUCUCUGGACAGUUCCUGACGCUGAGGCACGAAGGUCAGGGGAGCAAACGGG
rnacentral:rRNA from 1 species